AAUAUAGUAAGUUAAAAUAAACUAUUGAGAUGUGGCCUCAAAUAUAUAUACGCAUAUCUAUAUCC
rnacentral:tRNA from 1 species